UACGGGGGAUGCAAGCGUUAUCCGGAUUUAUUGGGUUUAAAGGGUGCGUAGGCGGGAUGCCAAGUCAGCGGUAAAAAUGCGGUGCUCAACGCCGUCGAGCCGUUGAAGCUGGCGUUCUUGAGUGGGCGAGAAGUAUGCGGAAUGCGUGGUGUAGCGGUGAAAUGCAUAGAUAUCACGCAGAACUCCGAUUGCGAAGGCAGCAUACCGGCGCCCUACUGACGCUGAGGCACGAAAGCGUGGGUAUCGAACAGG
rnacentral:rRNA from 1 species